rfam:Bacillus sp. X1(2014), complete genome.
GGUUAAGUUAGAAAGGGCGCACGGUGAAUGCCUUGGCACUAGGAGCCGAUGAAGGACGGGACUAACACCGAUAUGCUUCGGGGAGCUGUAAGUAAGCUUUGAUCCGGAGAUUUCCGAAUGGGGAAACCCACUGCUCGUAAUGGAGCAGUAUCAUUACCUGAAUCCAUAGGGUAAUGAGGGCACACCCGGGGAACUGAAACAUCUAAGUACCCGGAGGAAGAGAAAGCAAAUGCGAUUCCCUGAGUAGCGGCGAGCGAAACGGGAACAGCCCAAACCGAAAGGCUUGCCUUUCGGGGUUGUAGGACACUCAAUACGGAGUUACAAAGGAACGGGGUAGAUGAAGCGGCCUGGAAAGGCCUGCCGUAGAAGGUAAAAGCCCUGUAGUUGAAACUUCGUUCCCUCCUGAGUGGAUCCUGAGUACGGCCGGACACGUGAAAUCUGGUCGGAAGCAGGGAGGACCAUCUCCCAAGGCUAAAUACUCCCUAGUGACCGAUAGUGAACCAGUACCGUGAGGGAAAGGUGAAAAGCACCCCGGGAGGGGAGUGAAAGAGAACCUGAAACCGUGUGCCUACAAGUAGUCAGAGCCCGUUUAUGGGUGAUGGCGUGCCUUUUGUAGAAUGAACCGGCGAGUUACGAUUACAUGCGAGGUUAAGUUGAAGAGACGGAGCCGUAGCGAAAGCGAGUCUGAAUAGGGCGAUGGAGUAUGUAGUCGUAGACCCGAAACCAGGUGAUCUACCCAUGUCCAGGGUGAAGUCCAGGUAACACUGGAUGGAGGCCCGAACCCACGCACGUUGAAAAGUGCGGGGAUGAGGUGUGGGUAGCGGAGAAAUUCCAAUCGAACUUGGAGAUAGCUGGUUCUCUCCGAAAUAGCUUUAGGGCUAGCCUCACGUAGUAAGAGUCUUGGAGGUAGAGCACUGUUUGGACUAGGGGCCCUCAUCGGGUUACCGAAUUCAGAUAAACUCCGAAUGCCAAUGACUUAUCCGUGGGAGUCAGACUAUGAGUGAUAAGAUCCAUGGUCAAAAGGGAAACAGCCCAGACCACCAGCUAAGGUCCCAAAGUAUACGUUAAGUGGAAAAGGAUGUGGAGUUGCUUAGACAACCAGGAUGUUGGCUUAGAAGCAGCCACCAUUUAAAGAGUGCGUAAUAGCUCACUGGUCGAGUGACUCUGCGCCGAAAAUGUACCGGGGCUAAACGUAUCACCGAAGCUGUGGGUGGACACCUUCUGGUGUCCGCGGUAGGAGAGCGUUCUAAGGGCGUUGAAGCUAGACCGUAAGGACUGGUGGAGCGCUUAGAAGUGAGAAUGCCGGUAUGAGUAGCGAAAGAUGAGUGAGAAUCUCAUCCACCGUAUGCCUAAGGUUUCCUGAGGAAGGCUCGUCCGCUCAGGGUUAGUCGGGACCUAAGCCGAGGCCGAAAGGCGUAGGCGAUGGACAACAGGUUGAUAUUCCUGUACCACCUCUUUAUCGUUUGAGUGAUGGGGGGACGCAGGAGGAUAGGGUAAGCGCGCUGCUGGUUAUGCGCGUGUAAGCAGUUAGGCUGGCAAAUAGGAAAAUCCGUUUGCCGUUAAGGCUGAGCUGUGAUGCCGAGGGAAUUUGAGUACCGAAGUUCCUGAUUCCACACUGCCAAGAAAAGCCUCUAGCGAGAUAAAAGGUGCCCGUACCGCAAACCGACACAGGUAGGCGAGGAGAGAAUCCUAAGGUGAGCGAGAGAACUCUCGUUAAGGAACUCGGCAAAAUGACCCCGUAACUUCGGGAGAAGGGGUGCUCAUUAGGGUGCAUAGCCUUGAUGAGCCGCAGUGAAUAGGCCCAGGCGACUGUUUAGCAAAAACACAGGUCUCUGCGAAGCCGCAAGGCGAAGUAUAGGGGCUGACGCCUGCCCGGUGCUGGAAGGUUAAGAGGAAGGGUUAGCUCACGCGAAGCUCUGAAUCGAAGCCCCAGUAAACGGCGGCCGUAACUAUAACGGUCCUAAGGUAGCGAAAUUCCUUGUCGGGUAAGUUCCGACCCGCACGAAAGGCGUAACGAUCUGGGCACUGUCUCAACGAGAGACUCGGUGAAAUUAUAGUACCUGUGAAGAUGCAGGUUACCCGCGACAGGACGGAAAGACCCCGUGGAGCUUUACUGCAGCCUGAUAUUGAAUUUUGGUACAGCUUGUACAGGAUAGGUAGGAGCCGUGGAAGCCGGAGCGCCAGCUUCGGUGGAGGCGUCGGUGGGAUACUACCCUGGCUGUAUUGAAAUUCUAACCCGCACCCCUUAUCGGGGUGGGAGACAGUGUCAGGUGGGCAGUUUGACUGGGGCGGUCGCCUCCUAAAGAGUAACGGAGGCGCCCAAAGGUUCCCUCAGAAUGGUUGGAAAUCAUUCGCAGAGUGUAAAGGCACAAGGGAGCUUGACUGCGAGACCUACAAGUCGAGCAGGGACGAAAGUCGGGCUUAGUGAUCCGGUGGUUCCGCAUGGAAGGGCCAUCGCUCAACGGAUAAAAGCUACCCCGGGGAUAACAGGCUUAUCUCCCCCAAGAGUCCACAUCGACGGGGAGGUUUGGCACCUCGAUGUCGGCUCAUCGCAUCCUGGGGCUGUAGUCGGUCCCAAGGGUUGGGCUGUUCGCCCAUUAAAGCGGUACGCGAGCUGGGUUCAGAACGUCGUGAGACAGUUCGGUCCCUAUCCGUCGUGGGCGUAGGAAAUUUGAGAGGAGCUGUCCUUAGUACGAGAGGACCGGGAUGGACGCACCGCUGGUGUACCAGUUGUCUUGCCAAAGGCACCGCUGGGUAGCUAUGUGCGGAAGGGAUAAGUGCUGAAAGCAUCUAAGCAUGAAGCCCCCCUCAAGAUGAGAUUUCCCAUAGCGUUAAGCUAGUAAGAUCCCUGAAAGAUGAUCAGGUUGAUAGGUCAGAGGUGGAAGCACGGUGACGUGUGGAGCUGACUGAUACUAAUCGAUCGAGGACUUAACCAA